GCUUAUGCAUAUUUCUAAUUUACUGUGAACUGUUUUACUGUUUAGCGUUUUGAGGGAUUGCCUAAAGAUUAUAGGGAUAGGUCUUUAGGAUGUUAACCUAGCUAAAGUCAGGCUUAGGCCUGGUAUCCUAAUUCAUUAUUUACCAAAAGAAUUCAGAAUUAAUAUUGUAACAUAAGCGUAAAAAACUUAUAAAACAACUUUUAACAACGGAUCUCUUGGUUCUCGCAUCGAUGAAGAACGUAGCAAAGUGCGAUAACUAGUGUGAAUUGCAUAUUCAGUGAAUCAUCGAGUCUUUGAACGCAUCUUGCGCUCAAUGGUAUUCCAUUGAGCACGCCUGUUUCAGUAUCAACAACAACCCACAUCCACAAUUUUGUUGUGAAUGGAAGUGAGAGUAUCGACGUUAAAAUUGAACUCUUUAAAACUAUUAGGCCUGAACUAUUGUUCUAUUAGCCUGAACAUUUUUUUAAUAUAAAGGAAUGCUCUAGUUAAAAGACUAUCUUGGGGGCCUCCCAAAUAAAUCAUUUUUUUAAACUUGAUCUGAAAUCAGGUGGGAUUACCCGCUGAACUUAAGCAUAUCAAUAAGCCGGAAGGAAA
rnacentral:rRNA from 1 species